rnacentral:misc_RNA from 4 species
ACACCCUCAAGCUCUGCUUGGUGUUGGGCGUCUGUCCCGCUUCGUGCGUGGACUCGCCCCAAAGUCAUUGGCGGCGAUCGUGCCAGCUUCUCGCGCAGCAUACGCGCUCCGGAGGCAAGUCGAUCAGCAUCCACAAAGUACUUUCCACA